GACGAACGCUGGCGGCGUGCUUAACACAUGCAAGUCGAGCGGAAAGGCCCUGCUUUUGUGGGGUGCUCGAGUGGCGAACGGGUGAGUAACACAUGAGUAACCUGCCCUUGACUUUGGGAUAACUUCAGGAAACUGGGGCUAAUACCCGAUAGGAGCUCCUGCUGCAUGGUGGUGGUUGGAGAGUUUCGGCGGUUGGAGAUGGAAUCGCGGCUUAUCAGCUUGUUUGUGUGGUAGUUGCUUACCAGGGGUUUGACGGGUAGCCCGCCUGGGAGCGGGACCGGCCACAUGGGGCCUGCGGUAGGCAGCAGUCUGCUAUGGUAGGCAGUAGGCGAGAGUCUGGCACAACGGGCCGACGCCUGAGGUAGCAGCGUCGCGAGCGGGAUGCCGUCCUUUUGGUGGUAAACAGCUGUCGCCUGUGACGAAGCGUGAGUGACGGUACCUGGUAAAGAAGCACCGGCUAACUACGUG
rnacentral:rRNA from 1 species